rnacentral:tRNA from 1 species
AGCAGCGUGGCUUAGUGGAAAGAGCACGGGCUUGGGAGUCAGAGGUCAUGGGUUCAAAUCCUAGCUCUGCCA